GGGGCGUUUUCCUGUUUCCCGCUCCGUUGUCUGCUCGUCUCGAUCGUCUCUCUUCCCCUAUCAACAAAGACCGUAUAAAUAUACGAUCCAACCGUACAUACGCUCUUUUCAGUACUCUUCUUCUCCGUAAAAUCAUGUUUUCCAGGCUCUUCCGCAAAUGCACAGAAGAAACCCAUCACCUCUCCUCCUCCCAUACGCUCCAGCAGGGGAUUUUGACCACUCCUAUUUCAUUGUUUGGAGAGGAAAGGGGAUUUGGGGGUGGAAAUUGAGAUCAAGAGCGUGUGGCACUGGAACUCAAAUUAACUCUGGAAGUGUUGGAGGAAAAGGAGAAUGUUUUGCAAAAGAAGAUCUCCAUAGAGGUUGAGAGGGCAAAAGAAUUCACAAGGGCUAAAAAUAAACAAGCUGCACUACAGUGUUUGAAGAGGAAGAAGUUCUAUGAAGGCCAAAUGGAGCACCUUGGAAAUUUUCAACUACGUAUUCAUGAUCAGGAGGAAAAGCUACCACAGAAGCUGCCAACACAUUGUGGACAGGUGCAAAGAGUAAAGGAUAGUGUGAAAAAGACCUAUACAAAAAGCUCGCAGCUUGAGCUGGAACCCAGCGGCAACUAUUCUGGUGCUUUAGUGCCCUACAAGUGAGCAGAAACUAAAGGUAAGUGCAGGCGUCCAUCACUUGGAAUAGUUGUGAUUUCUCAUGAAGAGGUAGCGCCUCAGUAGUCUAAUUCUCAAGUGUAUGUAUAUAUUCAAGAAAUUUUUUAGAGGAAGUUGAUGAUUGAUGUUUGUAAUCUUGUUCCUUCUAUUAAAAAAAUUCAUGUUUCUGAUGGGCAAGCAACAGCAAAGAAUUCA